GGCCCAGCCUUUUUUCGCCAUCGACACGGGAACGGGUUUAACAUCCCCGUGGUGCGUAGGUGGUACUGCGUCUCCACAACAUUAAAUAAUUCGAGGUCACCUGGGGAAUUCCGGAAGCUUGCAUGUAAAUUUUACUGAAAACCCGUCAACAGGCAGAGAGCAUGGGAGCUGUACUUUGCAUUUUUAUUGAUCAAGAGGCACUGUCACCUCCAGUGUGACAAUUCUUUAUGGCUCAGGCUGCUGUUCCUCGUGCCGCGAACUCCUACUGUGUCUCCAGCAGAGAGCGACGUCAGUGUUCCAAAUACGCAAGGUUCAGGCAAAGAACGGUGCGUAACGGCGCUGCUACCAUUUCGAAAAAGUAAUCAUUUCCCCCGUGUCUGGAAGCCCUCUUGCCGUUCAGUGUCGGCGUCCAUGUGAGGUGUGCCGUCUCUCCGUUUUAGACGUGUUUAGACGUGUUGCGCCACAACGCCACGCGGCUGCCACUACUGAUGUUGACCAGAUGCUGAUGUACCCCGCUUGUUCUGAUACGCCCGUGCUUCUGUCUCCUCUAGAGGGGAAGAAGCGUUCAGUAUCCUAACACGUCAUUUUUUCCAGUGACAUCGCUGUGGCUCACAAAAACACCGCUUGCUGAAGAUAACGUACACGUUUUUGCGUUUUUCGUAAUUUUUUGGAGGGGCGGAUGGCGGUAAGAAGGGGGGGGAGAGAUCCACCAACAGCCAUGAGGUAUCGACGCCGAUUGGAUUCACUGCUGCCCGUAAUAGCAUCCUGCAGUAUGAGCUGCUGUCUGCGUUUCUGUGUGCAUGUUUCGAGGACAGAGGCUACUCGAGGCACGAGCACCUUCCUCAGUGCACU
rnacentral:lncRNA from 1 species